AUCUGUGCUUGAUGAUUGUGACGACGAUUAUUUAGAUAAAGAUUAUUUGCCUGCAGAUCAGAAAAAUAUUAAUGAUGAUGAAAAUGAACUUAUUGUUGAUAGUGACCUACAUUUUGAAUUUGAUGAUCAGUUGAUUGGUUUAGAAAAUGAAGAAUAUAAUUUCACUGAUGUACAAGAAGCUACAAAUAAAGAAAUAACAAAUAAGGAUAGAA